rnacentral:rRNA from 1 species
UACGUAGGGUGCAGGCGUUAAUCGGAAUUACUGGGCGUAAAGCGUGCGCAGGCGGUCUUUUAAGUCAGAUGUGAAAUCCCCGGGCUUAACCUGGGAACUGCGUUUGAAACUGGAAGGCUUGAGUGUGGCAGAGGGGGUGGAAUUCCGCGUGUAGCAGUGAAAUGCGUAGAUAUGCGGAGGAACACCGAUGGCGAAGGCAAUCCCCUGGGCCUGUACUGACGCUCAUGCACGAAAGCUAGGGGAGCAAACAGG